GCGGAGGCCGGCGCCGCCGGUGGGAGGGGAGAGCCUUAAAGGGGCCUCGCCUGCGUGCCGCCGCCGCCUUGGCCUUUACCACUAGCUGUACCCCUUCCAUCCCCCACUGGGCCGCCCGUGCCCUGGGGUCCCACAGAGGACGAGACUUCCCCGGGACCCUGGGCUCUGCGCCCUAUCCUCUGCCGGCUUUCCUUUCGCUCUCUCCUCUCCCUUCGCACCGCCGUGGGGUGGUGCUGGCGGGGGCAGUCACCCGCCGGCCGUGUGCGUCUGGGGUGGGGUGGAUUGGGGUGGGGUAGCGGGGUAGGAGCGCACGGCUCCGGCUCUGGUACUGCGGAGUCCAAGCCGCUCCCAGAGGCCGCCUGGGGGCGGGCCGCACCUCCAGAGCCCCAGGCUUGCUCCGGCUCUGCUCCGGUCCAGCUCUCUUCCCCUAAUUGGCUUCUCCUGGGUGUGCUCACUUGGGAGCGUCCGAGCCUCGGAGGCAUCCACCGUUCUCCGAACCGCUCCAACAACUUAGAGCCAGUCCUGUCCGAAGCCUGCAAGUUUGAGGACUGCCUUUCGGGGUUUGUUACCGUAUCCUGUUUAGAGGCGUAAAAUUCCUUCACUGCACCGCGCUUAGUUGCUGUUUUGGGGCGACACAGGAUCACUGGAGAGGCCAGUAUCCCAGAGGAGGAGAAGAUCUCUAAGUGCUGAGCUCCCUCUCGCGCCUUUGGGAUAAAGUGUGCGUUGCCAGAUUCGCACUUGGCAGAGGUUUUACAUAGUCAUAGUCCUGACAUUGAAGUUCCCAGUCCGCGAUCGUCAGAAGGUGAAGCUGGUCCUUUGUGCGUCGGCCUCUGGGGAGACCACUUCUCCGUGCUCUCGGCGGCCAGUGGAGGCGCGCUGGUGUCACUGCCUCGCUUCGAGUACCACUUUCCCAGCCCCAAUCCAUCACUCGGAUUGUCAGGCCUGUCUCUCGGGGCAGGUUGCUCCAGGACUACUCGUCCCUGACUCUGCGGCGCCUUGAGACAGCAUGAGAACCCAAGAUGGGGAUAGAUGAUUUCGAAGGGGUUCUUCAAACAGAAAGGAAUAGCUACCACAGAAAUAACAAAUAGCGGUCACGCACCUUUAUCAUGCUCAGUAAAGACAGCAUGCACCACUCCCGGGCCAUAUCAAUCAUACAUUAAACUCAAUUUACUCCCUGGA